UAAGUACUCCCUCCGUUCCAAAAUUCUUGUCUUAGAUUUGUCUAAAUACAAAUGUAUCUAGUCAUAUUUUAGUGUUAGCUAGAUACAUUUGUAUCUUGAGAAAUUUAAGACAAGAAUUUUAGGACGGAGGGAGUAUUAA
rnacentral:pre_miRNA from 1 species